rnacentral:rRNA from 1 species
UACAGAGGGUGCGAGCGUUAAUCGGAAUUACUGGGCGUAAAGCGUGCGUAGACGGUAGCGUAAGUCAGAUGUGAAAGCCCCCCGGCUCAACUGGGGAGGGUCACGCGAUACUGUUCGACUCGAAGGCAGGAGAGGGAAGCAGAAUUCCCGGUGUAGUGGUGAAAUGCGUAGAUAUCGGGAGGAAUACCAGUGGCGAAGGCGGCUUCCUGGCCUGUUCUUGACGCUGAGGCGCGAAAAGCUAGGGUAGCAAACGGG